UUAAGUGACGAUAGCCUAGGAGAUACACCUGUACCCAUGCCGAACACAGAAGUUAAGCCCUAGAACGCCGGAAGUAGUUGGGGGUUGCCCCCUGUGAGAUAUGGAAGUCGCUUAGU
rnacentral:rRNA from 2 species